UACGUAGGUGGCGAGCGUUGUCCGGAUUUACUGGGCGUAAAGAGCGCGCAGGCGGUCGUUCAAGUCGCGUGUGAAAGCCCCGGCUCAACUGGGGAGGGUCACGCGAUACUGAUCGACUCGAAGGCAGGAGAGGGUAGUGGAAUUCCCGGUGUAGUGGUGAAAUGCGUAGAUAUCGGGAGGAACACCAGUGGCGAAGGCGACUACCUGGCCUGUUCUUGACGCUGAGGCGAC
rnacentral:rRNA from 1 species